UGUGUUCCCCCUGAGACUGGGCUCCCAGAGGGUGAGGCCCGUCCCCUGGCUCUGUUUCCCCAGCACUUCCCCGCCCUCCAGCCUGAGGUGACAGGGAAGUUACAGUCCUGGACCAGGAGAUGGGAUCAGGGAGGGGCCGCCUCACCCAUCUGGCCCAGCCCGUGAGAAAGUCCCUCCAGCUUCCCUCCCACCCUGAAGGCCCUCUUCCUCCUCUGCCUCCUCUGCCUCCUCUGCCUCGUCUCCCAUUACCUGGGCCCUCAUUACUCAGCAGUGCCUCUGGAAGAAAAUGCACAGGGGCCCCCAUCCCCUGCCUGCACGCCACCGUGGGCAGAACCUUCUCUGCCGUCCAGGCUUCUCAGAUUCAAGCACAGAGGGGGCAGCACGGGGACCUGGGCCACCGAACCUCCUCUGGUCCUGCGACCGGAGGGCGAGUGCCGGAGCGAAGAGGGCCAGAGAAGGCGCUGCCAGUCGAGAAACCAGUUCUGUUCCCGUCCUGGAUAAGGAUCUCUGGGCUGGGCUCUUCCCAGGCAACCAGCCUGCAGCACCCCUGCCACCAGCCAGGGCCGCCGGGGUCUCCCCACGUUGGGGGCGGGGGGUGGCCUGCCCCUUCCUCACCAGUCCUGCCCUGGCCUCCUUCCCCUCGAGGAAGACCUCCCAGCAGCCCUGUAAGGGGCAGGGGGCCUCCCUUGCCUUCUCCCUUGGGUGCCCCAGAGGCCGGUCCCUCUCCCCCUGCCCCCUCGGCGCCCCCCAGGCUCCCAGGCUCCCCACGGGGCCCUGACAAUUGCUCCCUACGGCGGGGUCAGCCCCUCGCCCCAGUCGCGGGCACGGAAGGGGGCAGGGUGACACGGGCUUGACCCCACUUAACCCCAGCCCAUGGUCUCCUCCCGAACCAUCAUUCCCACGACAUUCUGGUCCCUUUCUCGUCCCUCGGAGCUUUCCCCCCACCCCCAACUCUGCCAACUGGAAGGGUUUUAAAAGGUCAUCUCCUGCAUUCUUCUGCCUCCUCGUCAAAUGUCUGCCUGACCUCUGCCCCUGCCCGGCGCCCCAGAAACCUCAGACCGACCGCUCCCAGCUCCUUCACCAGCACUGCGCUGGCUUGGCCAGCCUCUCCCAAAUGCCUGCGGGGAUUCAACCGCUUGUAGGGGCCGUGGGAGAUCAGAAGGCAGAGAGGAGGGCAGCUCUGGCAGCCACCGGGGAGACCUGGGGCAUCUGGAGGAGACUUGACUCAGGUCCCAGCCCCCACCCCCACCCCUGGAGGUGAGCAGGUGUGACAAGCCAGGCUGGGAUUCAAGCUGGUGACUCAAGCCCGAGCAGCCGACAGCUGCACGGUCCACGGCCGCAGCCAGCCCUCCCUUCCGCCGCCCCGAGGUGGAAUCUUAGAAGCUGGGAAUUCUAGAACCAGGGAACAGAGUCCCAGAAGGAAGGGCCCUCGGGGAUCAUGCCUCUCCUUUGUUUGAGAGGAAACUGGGGACCAGAAAGGGGUGUGGCCUGCUUGGGGGGUCGCUAGGACGUCAGGGCAAAAGGGGGCUGCUUGGCUUUAGCACAAAGCAGGUGCCAGCUGGGCCUCUCCACACCCUCUCGCUCUCUGGGUGGACUGGGUUCUUCCGUGUGCAGAGAACUCUGUUCCCUGUGCUCUUAUUUCCAUCCCUCACCCUGAGUGGAGCAAGCCUGUGCCCUCACUGGGCCUCCCUCUCCUUCUGGGCCGCAGAUUAUGAGGCCAGGACAGGUGCGGGGGGCCGUUCAGCCUCAGGUGAGGGAUUAUAAGCUAAGGUUUCAGCAGGAGCCUGAAGGCAAGGGUAUCCAGCCCAGAGGUAUUCAGCCCAGAGCCGCCCGGGGAGGGGGGAGCCACCUUCCCCUGGCCCAGCGUGCUGCGGGAGGGACACCCAGCCCCCCACCCAUCUCAGCCCACCCAGGCAUGUGUCUGAGCAUAAGGAGAUGGGGGGGGGGCGGUGACCCCCCCCCUGCGUGGCACACGGCCACAGGUGUUGUCACUGUUUCCAAGGCCCUACAAAGGGAGGAUCCAGGCCAGGCCAGGCCUCGGAUGGGCAGCAUUUACUGACAACCAUUUUCAGAGCGUGAGCUCGGUGCAGACGCCGUGGGGGGCAGAGCCAGUGCAUUCCCUGGCACCUGUCAUCAACCUCAGGGCCACUGAGGAAAUAUCCCCUGACCCCCGACCAGGUGCCAAGCACGUCACCCACGGCACCCCCCUCAGCUCCGGAGCCAGGCUGGGACCUGGGAGCCCGCCCCGUGGGACAGGGAGCCGAGGAGGAGGGCCCCCUCCCCACCGUAGCCUCCCCACCCUCAGGCUGCCUGGGGCUCAGCUCCAGCCUCCCCUCCCAGCCGCGCAGAGGCUAGACCUUUCAGACAAGCUUUCCUGUAAUUGUCCUGUCAUCACGGCUCCGACGCAGAAACCAGCCAAGGGACUGUGGAAAUGCAGAGGCAGAAAGCAUGAAGCUCGCGACGGUCAUCCACGCGAUGUGAUCCCACAGUCGUAUCAAAUGAAUACACGUCACGGCGGGAAAAGAUUAAUGACCUGACGGACCAAGACUACGUGUCGCAAACCGGACCUGUUUGUGUGCCGCUGGAGGGGAGUAAACCGCUAGGCACAUUUGGGAAGAACGGUGUCGGGGCAUCGGGGCGGCUCGGUCGAUUGAGCGUCUGACUUUUGAUUUCGGCCCAGGUCAUGAUCUCACAGUUCGUGAGAUCAAGCCCCACAUCA